GUGUUGUGCUUGUUGAGGGCAAAUAAAAUGAAUGUGGGUGUCAAUUCCGCCGGCGGUGGCAAUUAAAUUUGUGCCGUUAUGCACUUCGGUACUUGCCCCGAUAAUCAUAUUUGGAGUCACGCCAUCCAUCGUAUCCGGAUUGCCGGCUUGACCGAUUCCCACAAUACGCCCGUCACGAAUGCCGAUGUCGGCUUUGAUGAUGCCGAGUUUGGCAUCAAUAAUCAUCACGUUGGUGAUGACAAAAUCCAACACAUUCGGAUUAUCACGGGUUGCCGUGCCUGAUUGUGCCAUACCGUCACGCAC
rnacentral:sRNA from 1 species